rnacentral:rRNA from 1 species
UGGCUCAGGACGAACGCUGGCGGCGCGCCUAACACAUGCAAGUCGAACGAGAGAGAGGGAGCUUGCUUCCUCAAUCGAGUGGCGAACGGGUGAGUAACGCGUGAGGAACCUGCCUCAAAGAGGGGGACAACAGUUGGAAACGACUGCUAAUACCGCAUAAGCCCACAGGUCGGCAUCGACCAGAGGGAAAAGGAGCAAUCCGCUUUGAGAUGGCCUCGCGUCCGAUUAGCUAGUUGGUGAGGUAAUGGCCCACCAAGGCAACGAUCGGUAGCCGGACUGAGAGGUUGAACGGCCACAUUGGGACUGAGACACGGCCCAGACUCCUACGGGAGGCAGCAGUGGGGAAUAUUGCACAAUGGGGGAAACCCUGAUGCAGCGACGCCGCGUGGAGGAAGAAGGUCUUCGGAUUGUAAACUCCUGUUGUUGAGGAAGAUAAUGACGGUACUCAACAAGGAAGUGACGGCUAACUACGUGCCAGCAGCCGCGGUAAAACGUAGGUCACAAGCGUUGUCCGGAAUUACUGGGUGUAAAGGGAGCGCAGGCGGGAAGACAAGUUGGAAGUGAAAUCUAUGGGCUCAACCCAUAAACUGCUUUCAAAACUGUUUUUCUUGAGUAGUGCAGAGGUAGGCGGAAUUCCCGGUGUAGCGGUGGAAUGCGUAGAUAUCGGGAGGAACACCAGUGGCGAAGGCGGCCUACUGGGCACCAACUGACGCUGAGGCUCGAAAGUGUGGGUAGCAAACAAGAUUAGAUACCCUGGUAGUUCCACCCCGCAAACGAAGAUUACUAGGUGUGGGAGGAUUGACCCCUUCAGUGCCGCAGUUAACACAAUAAAUAAUCCACCUGGGGAGUGCGACCGCAAGGUUGAAACUCAAAGGAAAUGACGGGGGCCCGCACAAGCAGUGGAGUAUGUGGUUUAAUUUGACGCAACGCGAAGAACCUUACCAAGUCUUGACAUCCCUUGACGAACAUAGAAAUAUGUUUUCUUUUCUGAGCAAGGAGACAGGUGGUGCAUGGUUGUCGUCAGCUCGUGUCGUGAGAUGUUGGGUUAAGUCCCGCAACGAGCGCAACCCUUACUGUCAGUUAUUACGCAAGAGGACUCUGGCAGGACUGCCGUUGACAAAACGGAGGAAGGUGGGGAGGACGUCAAAUCAUCAUGCCCCCUAUGACUUGGGCUACACACGUACUACAAUGGCGUUAAACAAAGAGAAGCAAGACCGCGAGGUGGAGCAAAACUCAGAAACAACGUCCCAGUUCGGACUGCAGGCUGCAACUCGCCUGCACGAAGUCGGAAUUGCUAGUAAUCGUGGAUCAGCAUGCCACGGUGAAUACAUUCCCGGGCCUUGCAC